GAUGAAGAACGUAGCGAAAUGCGAUAAGUAAUGUGAAUUGCAGAAUUCAGUGAAUCAUCGAAUCUUUGAACGCACAUUGCGCCCCCUGGUAUUCCGGGGGGCAUGCCUGUUCGAGCGCCAUUUCACCACUCAAGCCUCGCUUGGUAUUGGGCAACGCGGUCCGCCGCGUGCCUCAAAUCGUCCGGCUGGGUCUUCUGUCCCCUAAGCGUUGUGGAAACUAUUCGCUAAAGGGUGUUCGGGAGGCUACGCCGUAAAACAACCCCAUUUCUAAGGUUGACCUCGGAUCAGGUAGGGAUACCCGCUGAACUUAAGCAUAUCAAUAACGGAGGA
rnacentral:misc_RNA from 1 species